GGUUUUUCAGGGCGCAUGCGCCGCUUCGGCCGUCAGGCGGCGGUCGCAGGGGACGGAAUCCCCAGGGUGGAGCCCAGCGCCUGGUGCUAGCAGGGCUGGCAUGAUCCAUUCCCCCAUGGGGGGCACUAGGGAGGCCAGGACCCCCCCCCCGCCUUUUGUUACAGCCUCUCCCCCCUUCGGUCCGGGGCUCAGAACUGCCUGGCUUCGUUCUCCCCCUUGUGCCCAGGGAGCUGUUGGGCCUGCCCCCGGAGCAAGGACAAAGUGAGUUGAAGGUAAUGAAAAAUGACCCACCUGGUAUUUUCAGAAAGCUACCUGGGAACUAUUUACAACUGAGGAUAAGGACGUUCUUCAGGGCCUGACCUAGGACAAUGAAGUGACAAUGAAGGAGGGACUAUGUACGCGCUAUAGGGCAGAAGGAACUAAUCAUCACCUGUGAUGGGUACGUAAGGGCUUUGAUAAAGGCACUCUAAUGUCUUAAGGUAACAAAAGUUACAUUGUUAUUUAGUAAAAAUAGCGGGGAAAUGGGGUAGUGGCAGCAAGGCGUCCUUACAUUACCUGAAGGGCACAGGUCAAAGCAAGAGAGUAUAAACUGACGAGUAUUGAGACAUCAUAAUUGCUGGUGGUGAUAGACUAUUCAGUCACGUCUGCUUCACCAUUAAAAACAAAGAAGAAAGAAAGAAACCCAGUGGAGCCAGGACUCCUGGGCUCUAUCCCAGCUCUGGGAGGGAAGUGGGGUUUGGGGGGCCGGAGGGACUCCGGCCUCUGACAAAUGGCCCUCUCCAGAGAUGAUGAGUUGACAUGAAAUCCCCACCCCACCCUCCUGAAGGCAAUGAACAGGCCCAGAUACCAUGGAGCUGGAUGAAGGGCUGAUGCUUGCCUGAGGCAGAGCUUAUGCUCUAAUAAAUUUGCUAGUCUCUAAGGUGCCACAAGUACUCCUGUUCUUCUUUUUGAGGCAGAGCAGAGGCCAUGGCUCAUAGACUUUAAGGCCAGAAGGGACCAGCAUGAUUACCUAGUCUGAUCUGCACUUUGCAGGGCACAGAAUCUCACCCACCCACCCCCAUCAUUUGCCCCUAACCUCUGGCUAAGUU